UACGUAGGGUGCGAGCGUUAAUCGGAAUUACUGGGCGUAAAGCGUGCGCAGGCGGUCUGUUAAGACCGAUGUGAAAUCCCCGGGCUUAACCUGGGAACUGCAUUGGUGACUGGCAGGCUUUGAGUGUGGCAGAGGGAGGUAGAAUUCCACGUGUAGCAGUGAAAUGUGUAGAGAUGUGGAGGAAUACCGAUGGCGAAGGCAGCCUCCUGGGCCAACACUGACGCUCAUGCACGAAAGCGUGGGGAGCAAACAGG
rnacentral:rRNA from 1 species